AUUGAACGCUGGCGGCAGGCCUAACACAUGCAAGUCGAGCGGAUGAAGGGAGCUUGCUCCUGGAUUCAGCGGCGGACGGGUGAGUAAUGCCUAGGAAUCUGCCUGGUCGUGGGGGAUAACGUCCGGAAACGGGCGCUAAUACCGCAUACGUCCUGAGGGAGAAAGUGGGGGAUCUUCGGACCUCACGCUAUCAGAUGAGCCUAGGUCGGUUUAGCUAGUUGGGGGGGUAAAGGCCUACCAAGGCGACGAUCCGUAACUGGUCUGAGAGGAUGAUCAGUCACAUUGGAACUGAGACACGGUCCAGACUCCUACGGGAGGCAGCAGUGGGGAAUAUUGGACGAUGGGCGAAAGCCUGAUCCAGCCAUGCCGCGUGUGUGAAGAAGGUCUUCGGAUUGUAAAGCACUUUAAGUUGGGAGGAAGGGCAGUAAGUUAAUACCUUGCUGUUUUGACGGUACCAACAGAAUAAGCACCGGCUAACUUCGUG
rnacentral:rRNA from 1 species